UAGCCGCGGUAUUUUGACCGUGCGAAGGUAGCAUAAUAAAUAGUCUAUUAAAUGUGGUCUGGAAUGAAUGGUUGAACGAAGGACAACUUUAUUAAUAUUAUUGAUGAAUUUAAAUUGUCAGUAAAAAUGCUGAUUUGAGGUAGAGGGACGAGAAGACCCUAUAGAGCUUUAUAUGUUUGUAGCUAAUUUGGGUGGUACAAUUUAAUUACAACAUAUUUUGUUGGGGCGACAUAAAAUAUUAAACAUUUAAUUUAUUUACUUUUCUUUAAGGAGUUUGAUCCAUUAUUAAUGAUUAGUAGGCUAAGUUACCUUAGGGAUAACAGCGUAAUCUUAUUAUAGAGUUCUUAUCGAUAAUAGGGUUUGCGACCUCGAUGUUGGAUUAGAAUUCCUUUUAGGCGCAGGGGUCUAUAUAAGGUAGUCUGUUCGACUAUUAAAUUUCUACA
rnacentral:rRNA from 1 species